UCAGAUUAAGCCAUGCAUGUCUAAGUAUAAGCAAUUAUACGGCGAAACUGCGAAUGGCUCAUUAUAUAAGUUAUCGUUUAUUUGAUAGCACAUUACUACUUGGAUAACCGUGGUAAUUCUAGAGCUAAUACAUGCUAAAAAUCCCGACUUCGGAAGGGAUGUAUUUAUUAGAUUAAAAACCAAUGCCCUCUGGGCUCUCUGGUGAAUCAUGAUAACUGCUCGAAUCGCAGGGCCUCGUGCCGGCGAUGGUUCAUUCAAAUUUCUUCCCUAUCAACUUUCGAUGUUUGGGUAUUGGCCAAACAUGGUUACAACGGGUAACGGAGGGUUAGGGCUCGACCCCGGAGAAGGAGCCUGAGAAACGGCUACUACAUCCAAGGAAGGCAGCAGGCGCGCAAAUUACCCAAUCCCGACACGGGGAGGUAGUGACAAUAAAUACUGAUACAGGGCUCUUUCGGGUCUUGUAAUUGGAAUGAGUACAAUUUAAAUCCCUUAACGAGGAACAAUUGGAGGGCAAGUCUGGUG
rnacentral:rRNA from 2 species